CGAGGGCCCUGGGCCUUUGCCAGCCUUAACCUUGGAUUCCCUCCGGAGCGGCUCGCAAGGGGAAAUCUGGAAAAGAAGCAACAGCUCAGGAGGACAGGGGCGGAGGUGUCGGGCAGAUCAGAAAAGCAGAAGUUCCAGUCUCCUCAAUCCAUCAGGAAUCUGGGAAACCCACGUGCCGAUGAUCCACACCCCCCACGCUGCCCCCAACAGCUCAGCCAGUGACUGAGAUCUUCAUCCCUCUCUCUGAUCCAGCAGCCUCACACUCUGACACCUCUCCUCUGUUCUGUGGUCCCCUCCCUCUCCCU